AAUGAUUCGGAGACGGUGGAUGAGUUCGAGGAGAAUUGGCAGCAUAUGCUGCAUUGCUUUGAAUUGGUUGACAACAGACAUCUAAGCAACAUGUGGCGUAAGCGAGAGACAUGGGCUCCAGCAUACUUCCGAAAGAACUUCUUCCCAUUUACAAGCACUACAGGGCGGUCUGAGGGUCUCAACUCCUACUUCAAGACAUUUGUCAACCCUCAAGACUCUGUCUGGAGAUUUGUACAACAAUAUGAGGUGCUUCAAGAAACAAUGUUGGACCGUGAAGACAAUCAAGCUUUCAUAGGCCACGCAACAACUGCGCCACUUUACUCAAGGUACAACUUUGAGCGCCAAGCAGUUCACUUCUAUACCCGAAGCGUGUUUCUCAAGUUUCAAAAAGAGGUCAUGGCAUCAACAGGCUUCAUCAUGAACCUGGCCCCUGCUCUUGACAAUGCAAGCGUGAGGUUUGAGCUGCACUCAAAUUACUUUGAGAACCCCCGAAUAUUU
rnacentral:rRNA from 1 species